AUUGAACGCUGGCGGCAGGCCUAACACAUGCAAGUCGAACGAGUGGCGGACGGGUGAGUAAUGUCUGGGAAACUGCCUUAUGGCGGGGGAUAACUACUGGAAACGGUAGCUAAUACCGCAUACCAUCAGAUUUUCCCUGAUGGGAUUAGCUUGUUGGUGGGGUAACGGCUCACCAAGGCCACGAUCCAUAGCGGGUCUGAGAAGAUGACCAGCCACACGGGAACUGAGACACGGUCCAGACUCCUACGGGAGGCAGCAGUGGGGAAUAUUCCGCAAUGGGCGCAAGCCUGAUGCAGCCAGGCCGCGUGUAUGAAGAAGGCCUUCGGGUCGUAAAGUACUUUCAGCGGGGAGGCGUUACCCACAGAAGAAGCACCGGCUAACUACGUGCCAGCAGCCGCGGUAAUUC
rnacentral:rRNA from 1 species